rnacentral:rRNA from 1 species
AUUGAACGCUGGCGGCAGGCUUAACACAUGCAAGUCGAGCGGGGUGAUGGUGCUUGCACUAUCACUUAGCGGCGGACGGGUGAGUAAUGCUUAGGAAUCUGCCUAUUAGUGGGGGACAACAUCUCGAAAGGGAUGCUAAUACCGCAUACGUCCUACGGGAGAAAGCAGGGGAUCACUUGUGACCUUGCGCUAAUAGAUGAGCCUAAGUCGGAUUAGCUAGUUGGUGGGGUAAAGGCCUACCAAGGCGACGAUCUGUAGCGGGUCUGAGAGGAUGAUCCGCCACACUGGGACUGAGACACGGCCCAGACUCCUGCGGGAGGCAGCAGUGGGAAAUAUUGGACAAUGGGGGGAACCCUGAUCCAGCCAUGCCGCGUGUGUGAAGAAGGCCUUAUGGUUGUAAAGCACUUUAAGCGAGGAGGAGGCUCUCUUGGUUAAUACCCAAGAUGAGUGGACGUUACUCGCAGAAUAAGCACCGGCUAACUCUGUGCCAGCCGCCGCCGUAA